AAUCAUCAGCUCAUACAUCUACCGUUGACAAGCGUAAAGUUUGAUCCUAAAUAUGAGUUCCAUGUUAGGGGCUCAAGUUUAGUUGGGCAAACUUUGGGUGGGUUUUCAACUUUCCUCGAAGCUUAUGUGAUACGAGUAAGGCACAUACUGUUCAACUUGGGGGAGGAGGGCUUGUGAAACAACAUCUUAAUCCAUGAGUGCCCCUGGUGCAAACUUUCGGGCGCACAUCUGCCCGGCCUCAUUUGGUCACAUUCAUCUUACUUCUUCUCUCCUUGUCUGCCUUCUUUUCUCGGCACGAGGGAAUUAUUGCCACUUGAACGUAGUUUGUCCAUGGACAUAUGAAGAAAAAUGAAGUAAUCAUGAGCAGAAUCAACCUUAGAAUAUUCACGACUUGGCUCCCACUCAGCUCAGCUCAACACGCUGAGACUUUACGACAUCCAUAUCUUGAAGCGCACUCGAAUGAAAUGCUCGGGAUCCGGGAUUUGCAGCGUCACCACCAGUUUAACUAAGUGGCAUUCAUCAUAGUACGUGACAAAUGUCUCCUCUGUUCCUGUUUUAUGCAAUACACAACAGACUCAUUUGAAAAUAAAGUUACAUUUUCUACUAUA